rnacentral:rRNA from 1 species
CAUGGCCUCUUGCAACCCGCAAAUAAGAGGUCCAACCUGCCCAGUGACAAUAAGUUUAACGGCCGCGGUAUUUUAACCGUGCUAAGGUAGCGUAAUCACUUGUCUUUUAAAUGAAGACCCGUAUGAAAGGUGUCACGAGGGCCCUCCUGUCUCCUACUUCAAGUCUGUGAAAUUGAUCUGCCCGUGCAGAAGCGGGCAUACCCACAUAAGACGAGAAGACCCUGUGGAGCUUAAGACUACAACCAAUCAUGCCUAAUAACCUGCCCUCCAAACGGCACAAAAGGUCCAAUAAGCUUAAUGACAAUGGUUUACUGUCUUCGGUUGGGGCGACCAUGGGGGACAGAAAAGCCCCCAAGAAGAAGCAGGGGACCAAUUACACCGAUCCCUAAGAGUCAAGAGCUACAACUCUAAACAACAGAAACAUCUGACUAAUAAUGAUCCAGGUAACAAACCUGAUCAACGGACCAAGUUACCCCAGGGAUAACAGCGCAAUCCUUUCCCAGAGCCCAUAUCGCCGAAAGGGUUUACGACCUCGAUGUUGGAUCAGGACAUCCUGGUGGCGAAAAUUCUACCAAGGGUUCGUUUGUUCAACGAUUAAAGUCCUACGUGAU